AAGGAGGGUGGAAGGAUAAGGAUUGAGCUUUUUCCUUCUGGGGGGUUCAUGUAGCUUCGUGCAGACAAGAGGAAUGUGUGGUGGGCAGGGGCAGGGCAGGGGCAGGUCUUGGGCAGUCAUUGAUUUUUUAUUUUUUUAUUUUCUGUGAAGUGGGUUGCUUCAUUAUGGGUAGCAGCAGUGCUAUGAACUGAAGGGAGGGGCUGUAUGACAAGAAUGGAUCUGGAAAAUGGCCAUUAGGUCACAAACUUGGACAACCAAAGGCUGCUGACAGGCACAUUCUUGAGCACUGGAGCCUACCACAUCAACACCCCAAAAAAUAAACCCUCUGCUUCUUUUUUCUAUUUACUUCUAAAACUUAUUGUACCUUGUCACUUUGUGAACAUGAUUUUAAAAAAAAUUGUGUAAGAUCAAAAAAGAUAGAUUGAGGUUAAGAAUUGUCUCAUCCUGUAUGCUUUUCUCCAGUUGGGUCCUUCAUUGCAGGACACUCCAAUUGGGUGCAUGGGAAAAGC
rnacentral:lncRNA from 1 species